UGGUUGCUCAGAACAGUUUCCUUUCACGGUUAUUCCAAAGGUGUCCAAAACUGCCAUCACAGGAGCAAGAUCCCGAUUAAAGGCAGAUCGUAGCCAUUCUUAUUCCAUCCACUUUCCCUCAGUUUGUCUUUUGAAACGACAACUAUGAAUUCUCACCUGGGCACACCUACCAACUCCACCAUUGUAACGACGGAACGGCACACAUUGCUUCUGUAAAGUGACGUCCUUCAAAUACUUGGUGGCUUUUCGGAUAUGCAUACCCUUAAUGGCCUGGGCAGUUUCACGAGUGUUCUAAGUAUAAAUAACAUAAGCUGUGAGUUAACUGUAUUUU